rnacentral:sRNA from 1 species
UUUGUCGCUAAGAUUCGA